AUUGAACGCUGGCGGCAGGCCUAACACAUGCCAGUCGAGCGGAUGAAGGGAGCUUGCUCCUGGAUUCGGCGGCGGACGGGUGAGUAAUGCCUAGGAAUCUGCCUGGUAGUGGGGGAUAACGUCCGGAAACGGGCGCUAAUACCGCAUACGUCCUGAGGGAGAAAGUGGGGGAUCUUCGGACCUCACGCUAUCAGAUGAGCCUAGGUCGGAUUAGCUAGUUGGUGGGGUAAAGGCCUACCAAGGCGACGAUCCGUAACUGGUCUGAGAGGAUGAUCAGUCACACUGGAACUGAGACACGGUCCAGACUCCUACGGGAGGCAGCAGUGGGGAAUAUUGGACAAUGGGCGAAAGCCUGAUCCAGCCAUGCCGCGUGUGUGAAGAAGGUCUUCGGAUUGUAAAGCACUUUAAGUUGGGGGGAAGGGCAGUAAGUUAAUACCUUGCUGUUUUGACGUUACCAACAGAAUAAGCACCGGCUAACUUCGUG
rnacentral:rRNA from 1 species